GUCCAAGAUUGCUCAUAUCCCUAACAUUAUUCUUGACGGUUCUGAGAUCAGUUCAACAGGCAAUUAGGCAUUUACAAGUUCAGUAAUUAAAAAUUUGAGAUUGAAAUCAAGGAUUUUUCUUGUUUUUGCAUCUAAUUCGAGGAAAUGAUGAUAAUUUGAUGUACAUUUGGGAUUGCAGGUCCGUGGGAGUUUGUGAGAUAUCAUGGGAUCUCAGCUGAAAAUGCCAACUGCUGAAUGAAACAAUAUUUGUGUUUUAAUGAUUGUGAAACUUCUUAUUUUAUUAUUUUUAUCUCUAAACUCUUGUCACUUUUAUUUUUAUAUUGUAAAUAGUUCCAUGUCUGAGGUUA
rnacentral:misc_RNA from 1 species